GAGAGCUAAGAACUCUACAUUAUGUUCUGUCUCGUUUCUUUUUUUAUAGCUCAUCAUAACCUAUGCCUAUUUUUCCCUUUGAAUCUUUCAUAGAUUCCAGUCAUAGGCCAGAUUCAAGACUCAACCCCAAUUAUUGGGUAUAAGAGACACAAUAGGUAUUCAAUAAACAUCGGUUGAAUUGAAUUAAAUGGGAUUGAAAUUGGCCCCACUAAGACAUAGAUCUCUUAGGGGUUGUUUGGCUGCAAAAACCAGAAAUCUAGAUGACUAGCUAAAGCUAAACAAGAAAAUUUACUGUAAGGAUACAUGGAUUUCUUUAUGAGAAAAUGCAAAAGGAAGUGGAAACUUACCAGGAAUGAAAGAGAAUGCUGUUUAUAAUUGUAAGUGCUCUCAUUUCUGAAGAAUCGUUCUAUUCUUCUCCCUCUCUCUCUCUUUCUCUCUCCCCUUUAAACUUUCUUGACUUAGUGUGCAUGAGAGAAAAUGGCAUUCCAAACCCCACAUAAACUCCUCUUUCAAAUGCUUAGUAUUUGUCAGCUAUAGCCAUUCU
rnacentral:lncRNA from 10 species